rnacentral:rRNA from 1 species
CAGCCGCCACGGUAAUACGUAGGGUGCGAGCGUUAAUCGGAAUUACUGGGCGUAAAGCGCGCGCAGGCGGUUCGUUAAGACAGAUGUGAAAUCCCCGGGCUUAACCUGGGAACUGCAUUUGUGACUGGCGAGCUAGAGUAUGGCAGAGGGGGGUAGAAUUCCACGUGUAGCAGUGAAAUGCGUAGAGAUGUGGAGGAAUACCGAUGGCGAAGGCAGCCCCCUGGGCCAAUACUGACGUUCAUGCACGAAAGCGUGGGGAGCAAACAGGAUUAGAUACCCCUGUAGUCCCUGUCUCUUAUAC